AGUGAACGCUGGCGGCGUGCCUAAUACAUGCAAGUCGAGCGAGCGGCGGACGGGUGAGUAAUGUCUGGGAAUCUGCCUGAUGGAGGGGGAUAACUACUGGAAACGGUAGCUAAUACCGCAUACCAUCAGAUGUGCCCAUAUGGGAUUAGCUAGUAGGUGGGGUAAUGGCUCACCUAGGCGACGAUCCCUAGCUGGUCUGAGAGGAUGACCAGCCACACUGGGACUGAGACACGGCCCAGAAUCCUACGGGAGGCAGCAGUGGGGAAUAUUGCACAAUGGGCGCAAGCCUGAUGCAGCCAUGCCGCGUGUGUGAAGAAGGCCUUCGGGUUGUAAAGCACUUUCAGCGAGGAGGCGUUACUCGCAGAAGAAGCACCGGCUAACUCCGUGCCAGCAGCCGCGGUAAUAC
rnacentral:rRNA from 1 species